rfam:Nelumbo nucifera unplaced genomic scaffold scaffold00227, whole genome shotgun sequence
GGGUGCCUUCAUACCAGCACUAAUGCAUCGGAUCCCAUCAAAACUCCGAAGUUAAGCAUGCUCGGGCGAGAGUACAACUGGGAUGGUUGACCUCCUAGGAAGUCCUCAUGUUGCACCCC